rnacentral:rRNA from 1 species
ACAAGUACCGUGAGGGAAAGUUGAAAAGCACUUUGAAAAGAGAGUGCAAGAGAACGUGAAACCGUUAUAGUGGAAGCGGAUGGAGCCAACGUAUCAGUGCGUAUUCAGCCUUCGACUACGAGUUCGAUGUUGGUUUGGUGUUCUGCAAAGUCAUCGGCUAGCAUUUGGGCCCGAGUUGGUGGUGCAUUUGCGUACAGAGUGCGCCGAAUCGGUCGAUUGUGUUGUUGAAAGCCGAUGAAGAGGACUCGUUUUCGGAUGAGAACCCUGCGUCGGUGGACAACAAAUACGGUUGAUUGUUGUUGAAUGAGAGACUGGUGUAUUCGUUGCAGUCGUUCGAUGUUUGGGUUGUUCGUGUUUAGCACAUGUGUUCCGCACUUAUGAUUCGAGCGUUGAGCGGGUGUUUCGCUGUCUCGAUAUUCGGUGUUCAGUUGGUCACCCAUUUGACCCGUCUUGAAACACGGACCAAGGAGUUUAAGGUGUACGCAAGUCAUUGGAUUUGAAAAUUCAAAGGCGUAAUGAAAGUGGGACACUUAGUGUCUGUGAUGUGAUUUGUUGUUGGUUUCGAUCGCGACAAAGCAACAUCAACCCAUGACUAGAAUUAAUUCUGUUGUGGAGUUCGAGCGUACGCUUUGAGACCCGAAAGAUGGUGAACUAUGCCUGAGCAGGACGAAGUCGGAAGAAAUUCCGAUGGAAGUCCGAAGCGGUUCUGACGUGCAAAUCGAUCGUCUGACUUGGGUAUAGGGGCGCAAGACUAAUCGAACCAUCUAGUAGCUGGUUCCUUCCGA